UAGACCUUUUUCACAAUGCGGAAAGUCGGGAUUUUCCAAUCCGGCAACGCCGUAAUCGGCCAUUUUAGUUCCCAUUAUUUUUUCCCUGUGUAAAUUCCCAUAAGGAAUCGAGGUACCUUUAGUUUUAAUUCAUUUUUUAAUUAUUGGUUUCUUACAGCCAAUUUAUUUUUCAUCGAUCGUGUUCCCCGAUGAAUUGGUUGUUUUGAUUCUGGUAUGUAAAAACAGACAUGUUAUGUGCUUGGCUGCGGUGCUGUAACUUUUGCUUCCCAAAAGUGAAUGUUAAUGGACAUCUAGAAUAUGGGGUUGCAAAAAGUAGGAGACAGGUAUAUGGCUGCUGAAAAGAACAAAUUUGAGAGAAAAAGUUUUAUAAAAAUAUACAGCAGAGUAUGCAGUCAACAUUUUACUUCUGGUAACAUAGUAAAUUUUAUAAAGUAAUUCAUAUGAUUGAGUCGUGUUGGAAAUAUUUCUCUGAAAUAAUUAACUAAGUAACAUUUUUUUAUCUGCACCAACACAUAAUAAUGAGCAAAAUUCCAUUGGGAUUGCUACUGUUGAAAGAAUUAGUCGCUCUCUAAGAUUCUAAGAAGGCAGAUUGCUGGGACAUGUUCAACGAUGUAAGAGGAUGACACACAUUCCACAAGACGUAGUUACUGAUUUCAUGAAAGAUACAACUGUACCUAAGGUUACUAUGCAGAACACGUUUGAUGAACACAUCAACACAUAGGUAAAUCAAGUAACAAUCAGAAUCCAUCUACCUGCAAAACAGUCAUCGGUUCUUUGAAUAAAAAGUAUUGAAAAAUGAGAAAUAAUUACUAGUUGAAGCAGUGUCACGUCACGUCUUUAGUAUUUUUAUUAAUAACUUUAUUUCAUGUUUAAUACAAUGUUUCACUCGA